AUGAACGCUGGCGGCGUGCCUAAUACAUGCAAGUCGAGCGAACGGACGAGAAGCUUGCUUCUCUGAUGUUAGCGGCGGACGGGUGAGUAACACGUGGAUAACCUACCUAUAAGACUGGGAUAACUUCGGGAAACCGGAGCUAAUACCGGAUUAUAUUUUGAACCGCAUGGUUCAAAAGUGAAAGACGGUCUUGCUGUCACUUAUAGAUGGAUCCGCGCUGCAUUAGCUAGUUGGUAAGGUAACGGCUUACCAAGGCAACGAUGCAUAGCCGACCUGAGAGGGUGAUCGGCCACACUGGAACUGAGACACGGUCCAGACUCCUACGGGAGGCAGCAGUAGGGAAUCUUCCGAAAUGGGCGAAAGCCUGACGGAGCAACGCCGCGUGAGUGAUGAAGGUCUUCGGAUCGUAAAACUCUGUUAUUAGGGAAGAACAUAUGUGUAAGUAACUGUGCACAUCUUGACGGUACCUAAUCAGAAAGCGACGGCUAACUACGUG
rnacentral:rRNA from 1 species